UAUUAUUCACAAAUUGAUGGCAUUUAAGGAAUCUGAAGUAAUAUAAACCACGUAACUUUGAAAUAUUUGAAUAUUCUAAUGCUCAGAAUGAAAUAUUUUUCAUACUGAUUAGGCCUCGAAACUGGGUUUGAAAGAAAACAUUGUCAAACAGAGGUCGUAGUGCAAAUAACACAAAACAUAAAAGUAAAGGGUGUUGAUUCAUUUUAAUUUUAUCUCUUUGCAAACUGAAUAUGCAUAAUGUCAUCUUGAUGUUCAGUCUCCCUCCUUUAUUUGCAUAUCAAAAUGUAUAAUGGAGGAGGUACAUUUUUUUCAUUGAGAAAAAUCAGUGGGAACUGAAAAACAGGCAAUUUCCCUAGGUUUUACUAUGAGCAUUUUGCUUUGAUUUCGGGUAGGUGAAGCAUUGAUUAAGUCUAUUUUUCUAAAUCCAAAGCAAGAUUUUUUACUUCAGCUGAGGUCAUCUGCAGACAUUUCCCACAGUUUGGAGCUAUUUUUUGAAACAUCUUGCAUCUCUGCUUUUCUCUCCAUAUUUCUUUUCUCCACUCCCUUCCUCUCUCCCAGCUGCAGGGAUUCGUCCUCUAAAAGAGUGGAGGUGGGAGGGAACAAGGAAUGGAAGCAAAGCAGGGAGCAUGAGCUAGAGAAUGCCAGGAUCUGGCUUUUGUUAUUGGUUGGCUGCCGCCUGAUGGAUAGACGAGGGAGGAGUGUACUCUCUUCAGUGUGUUCUGACGGAGCCGAAGUACAGAAACCAUAUUUACAGGUAUCGCCAUUCCUAGCAACCAAUUUGAUUUUUGAUGGACAAAGAGCCCCAGGAAAGUAGAUGCCUUUAUACCUGAGAAAAAAGAAAUCCCAAGCAAGAGAGACGUACCCUAAUCAGUAUGCUCUGGAUAUGACAGCAUGCAAGUGAGUGAUCUAUUUUGUUCUGAACUCUGGCUCUGUCAAUGACAAUACACGAUUUACUAGAACAAAUCAAAUAAGUGUAUUUGACUCCCAUUUUGACAUUUCAAAACAGUAAGCCAUAUCUCCUUAUGCAGCAAAUAUAUUCAUAUUUUUAAUUUUUACUUUUUCUUAUAAGACACUGUUGUCAGGACGAGAAUAAAAAUGAUGACUUAGGGUAGAAUUGUUUUCAAUGCUUUCUAACAUUAUGAGAAGAAUAAUUUCUGCAUGGAUAUGAUAAUGUGGUAUGUGUGGUUCAAAAAUGUACAGCCCCCCCAAAUGACUUUGAGACUUUGACUAUCCAAUCAGCAGCUCCAU
rnacentral:lncRNA from 1 species